AUUGUUUAAAAAUUAAUGGUCAGGAUAUUUAGAUUUGAUGUGCUUAAGGUGUCCCGUCUUCCCCCACCCUACUAUAAAUACUUCGACGCGUUUUAUAAUCAAAUUUUCACCCUUACACUUUACAAUAAAAAUCUUUGCACGUAUUUUACUGCUUUGUCAUCGCAUCUGUCCAGUAUCAUCGACUGUCAGUUUAAAUAUAUACGUGAUCAUGGAUGGUGGGGACAUGGCUUUUAAAGCAAAGUGCCAAAUCCAAUUUAAAAAUCCAAGAGUCUAGAGUCUAGCUAGAGUUUAGUGUACCAGAAAGAACGCAUAUGUACGUUUAAAGGAUACGCUUAAAACUUAGAGUAGCUACUUAUAAAGUUCAUCUUGAAUUAAAGGUUCGUCCUUUUCUGGCAUCGGCUUUUGGGAGAGGAAAAAUCCAUCUAGUACUUCGAUAGGCGCAGUUUCAACUUCGUUUCUUAUCCGGAAACUGCAACAUUGUGAUUCGGUAAAACUUCGUUUCUUCUAUCUCACUGCUUCCAUUGAAAGUAGCAGCAAAAACUAAUCUGUCAAAAACGGUAACUGGUACAGGUUAUAUCAAUAACAGUUCAAAGAUUUGUCCAUUAGGAAGAUUUAUCUGUGUAUGGGAGCAGACAUUCUCAGUGUAAAAUGAAGAUAAAGAUAUUCUACCAAAAAAUGUCGAUUACGACAUUGAUA